AGAGUUUGAUCCUGGCUCAGGACGAACGCUGGCGGCGCGCCUAAUACAUGCAAGUCGAGCGAGAACCGGGGCUUCGGCCCCGGGGAGAGCGGCGAACGGGUGCGUAUCACGUGAGCAACCUGCCUCGGAGACCGGAAUAACUCGAGGAAACUCGGGCUAAUGCCGGAUGCCCUCGGUGGACCGCAUGGUCCGGCGAGGAAAUGGAUUCCGCUCCGAGAUGGGCUCGCGGCCUAUCAGCUUGUUGGUGGGGUAACGGCCUACCAAGGCGACGACGGGUAGCUGGUCUGAGAGGACGAUCAGCCACACUGGGACUGAGACACGGCCCAGACUCCUACGGGAGGCAGCAGUAGGGAAUCUUGCGCAAUGGGGGAAACCCUGACGCAGCGACGCCGCGUGCGGGAUGAAGGCCUUCGGGUCGUAAACCGCUUUCAGCAGGGACGAAAUUGACGGUACCUGCAGAAGAAGGCCCGGCCAACUACGUGCCAGCAGCCGCGGUAAU
rnacentral:rRNA from 1 species